AAAUUGAAGAGUUUGAUCAUGGCUCAGAUUGAACGCUGGCGGCAGGCCUAACACAUGCAAGUCGAGCGGUAGCACAGAGAGCUUGCUCUCGGGUGACGAGCGGCGGACGGGUGAGUAAUGUCUGGGAAACUGCCUGAUGGAGGGGGAUAACUACUGGAAACGGUAGCUAAUACCGCAUAACGUCGCAAGACCAAAGUGGGGGACCUUCGGGCCUCAUGCCAUCAGAUGUGCCCAGAUGGGAUUAGCUGGUAGGUGGGGUAACGGCUCACCUAGGCGACGAUCCCUAGCUGGUCUGAGAGGAUGACCAGCCACACUGGAACUGAGACACGGUCCAGACUCCUACGGGAGGCAGCAGUGGGGAAUAUUGCACAAUGGGCGCAAGCCUGAUG
rnacentral:rRNA from 1 species